UUGUAGCUAUUUUUUGUAGUCCGGGUUCCCCGAACGAAGUUGAUUAAAUCGCUCUUUAAGCAUUUUAAAUGAGUUCCGUUCCGCGCAAGUGUUUUGUGAUAGUUUGCGUUCUAAUCUAUCUCGCAGUGGACUUGUAGAACGGUUCAUAAAUAAGUGGCUUAUCAGCAUGCUUGGGGUUUUCGCUUAAAUUGAGCAUUCACUGCAAACACAGCCAGCGAAAAUUAAAAAAAAAAAUAUAUAUCAAAAAUAAUUAAAUUUUUUUAUUUAUUUGUGAAUCAUGUUUGUAUUACAGUCUUCAAAAAAAAUGUUUUAAUAUGUAUAUUGCCGUAUUGAAAAAUAUUUUUAAGAAAUUCGUGUCAUGUCUAACUCGAGCUUAUGACCUUUCAACGUAAAUAGUUUUAUUUAGAAUUGGUGAGCUGAAAAUAAUCAACGGAAAUUGCAGAUAAGUGGUACUGAAAUAAGGCUGACAAUCAUAAAAACCCAACCAACAAUAUAUAUAUAUGUAUAUAUGGAAAAUCCUCCUGUGUGGCUGUGUGGUUUCUGUGGCGAAGCGAAUGUGAAUGCGACCGUGGCAACAUUGCUUAAUGCCAUUGUAUUUGCUUAAAUGCCGGAAUUGCACACUGGUGCAACUGCUACAAUUUCCAUGUGCCAUAACAUUGAAUUGCAGUGAAGAGCGAGAAAAUUACUCUUUUUAAAGGCAACAUGGAAAAUACCUCUAAUUGAGGGAAAUCCUUGCCACAAAAGGCGAAAAAUGCUUCAACCAGAUGCUUGCAGUCACUCUGGAGAAAUUAUGAAAACUUAAAAGAGAUGUGGUAGAAUUGAAAUUCUACUCCACAAUUUCUAAAGUGCAUUCAAGGCCACUUAUGCACACGCUUGCCUUCAAUUGACUAAAAGCCACUUUACAUUGCUGCCGCUCCGCUUAAAACCAUGGCAAAAUGCCUUCGAAGGAGCUGCAUACAGUGAUGAGCACUCAAUAUGCAACAAGUUCACAGUGGUGUUUCUCACAUCACUACACAGUGCCACUUGACUCAUCACCCACACCCACACAUAUAGAUAUGAAUGCAUGUAAAUCCAAUGUUAUGUACCAUGUACCGUUUUGCACAUCAUAAAAUCGCACAUACACCGGCGUCUCAACGGCAACUUUGCCGCUCAUUGCACACACUUUAUUGCAUUGUUAUUUUAUUCGAAUUACUUUGCUCACUCACC